GUCCCACACCUCGCGCCUCCCUCCCACACCCCAAAAACCCUAUCCACCCACAGCCGCCGCCACCUCUCCCUCUCUCCUCCGGCUCUGGAUUUAGAUUCGCCACCCACCGGCGCCCUCACAUCUCGCCGCCCAUAUCCCCCAAGCCACCAUCCUCCCACCCUCUCCGUCUCCCCCUCCCUCCCCUCCUCUCCUCAGAGAGGAGAGGGAGAUCGACCAACCAUGGCGGCGGCCAUGGUGGCAGCCAGAUCUGGGAUGGUCGCAGGCACCUCUCCCUCCUUGCAAAGGCUACGGGAUUUACCGGUAUGGGACAGGAGCACUGUUUCCUCCCGUUGCUUCUGCUCGGCCGUGCGUGAGGAGAUCCCAUGGACGCUGAUGUCAAGCUCCGCUACUCUGACCCCCAUCCAGGUCUGCCCCCUUCUCUGUUCCCCUCUUCGAUCUGCCCUUCUUCCAAUUCCUUCUCCGAGGCAUGCAUUUUCUCUUGGUUUUCUUCCUCACACAGGCACCUGCACCAGCAACUCUAUGCAGGGAGAGGGGUGAGGCGAUGCAGGGAGAAAAAUGAAGAAUGGGAUGCACCUGAGGAGAGAGGGGUUGUCAUCUUCGUUCCUGCUCGACCACGUUGCCUAUGGAUGGUGAGAGGAGAAGGUGCUGCAAGUGCUAGGAGAAGGGGUCGGAUGCAACUGAAACCCUUGCUGUGAGAGUCUCUGUAUAGACCAAGCACCUACGGGUGAAAUGGAUGUGAACCUUCAGAAAUCAAAUGUUUCGUGCCGGCGCGGCUCCGGCGCCUGCUGGAUGGUGCUCCUGGAACAAGACGGCACGGAGGCCCUCCUCUUGCAGGAUGUGCUGACGCGGCGCACGCAGCGGCAUGUUUGGGGCAAGCUUGAGCGCGAUGGCCUUGUCUCAACGAUGACGGCGGUGAACGUUGGUGCUCCUUCUCGUCCUCUAUCUCCAAGGACAUGCGCCGGUACAGCUCGGGCAACCCCGCCCCUGAACGCCGUCCACCCAUCCGGCGAUGUACAGGUCGUCCUCACGUGUGUGGAUUCGCCUCUUGCUGGACUCAACACUUGCAAUGUGGACAUGGUGAUCUUCUUUGCCCUCCCCCCUCUACCCCAAAAUCUAGAUGACAUUUACAUCUGUACAUACAUACAUAUGUUUUAAUUUUGACUGAAACAAUCUGGAUGGUUCCUGCAUCUAUAGAUAAACAUGAAUAACCAUGCUUUGGUUCAGUUUGUAUGUAUCAAUUUGGUUUAACUUUGACUGAAUAUAUAUAUGAAUACAUUUUGGUUUCUAGGCCCUUGUAAUGAUGGGCUUACUGUCUGACAGGGUUCAUUCUUCAGUUAUCCUUGUUAGUCGUGACCCCUUUAGCUAAUCUGUUUGGAACUGGUGGGUGGUACAUCUGCAUGUUGUUUGAUCGAAAGGCGGAACCGUUAGUAUUAUCAUGUUUGCUUUCCUUGGAAAUGAUUCAGCUCUAGGAGCAAAUUAUUAGUUUACUGUUUAUAAUCUGUAUCAUUUAUCAAAUUGUGUUGUAAAUUAUCAUUCCCUAGCUCAUUUUAAUUGUUUUGCAUUCCCUGGCUCAUUUUAAUUUUGUUCCAGUGGUGGAGUAUAACUCUGGGCAGCUUAUCAUCCAUAUUCUUGCAGCUUUAUGUUCCAUCUAAUAUGUAUAGAAAUCAAUGUGUAUUCAUAACCAGGCGUGUCAUUAGCUAGUUUAAAUCCUCACUGUAGGCAACAUAACUUGCCAGCACAUGGCAGUUUGUUCACUUAACCAUACCUUAUAAUGGGUCAGCUUUUGUUCUAUACCAGACGCAGCCAUGUAACCAAAAUAUAUUCCACAGCAGCAACAAGUCUGUUUCGUGCUACCAAAAGUAGGUUCCUUGUUAUAUUUCAGAGAUGUGCAUGCGAACUUGUUCAGUCAGCAACCAUUUAUGUAGGUACCGGCAAGGAGUGCACUUUGUGAGAAGUGCUAGUUACGGGAGUAUGCUCAUGUCACCAGCAUACUAAGGGUUUCUCUACAACCAAUUAUCUUCUGCACGGAGCCACAGAGGGCCAACCUGGGGUAUUGUUCGCUACAUCAACACUUGUAAUAUUUCCCUAUACCUACAUUCAUUUGUUAUUAAGUUAUAAUCAUCUUCAGUGUAGAGUAUAUAAUAUUUUUGUAGUUUUGGUGGUCAGGUUUAUAACAUGGUUGUUCGUACAAAAUUGUUGUAACUUCUCAUCAGUAUUUCUACGUACAAUUUUCAAAAUCUUUUUGUUCUUCCAACGUACAUACAACUGAAAUUUUAUCUUGAAACUUGAUAAAAUGACACCCCUUUUGUUGGUUCUAACAAAAUUACUCAUAUCUAAAAAUGUCUAAUGUUUGUUCUGUUUUUGGACAGAUAUAUUAGAUGAUAGUUGCCAUGAAGAGUGUCGAUUGCAAGAAAUUGAAUAAGAAAUUUUUAUAUACGUUGUUGAAGUAAAUUGGAUUUUGAUGGUCCUAACCUUGCUAUGUGUUGUAUUUUGUCAAUUCAUGUUGUAAAUAAUCAUUUCAGGGAGGUUUUGUAAACUGCUAUGUUGUAUGUACCGAUGGAUGGCUGUGUAAAUACUACAGGGCAUUUUGAAGUAUUUUUUCUUCAGCCAAAUUUGGCACUA